UACAGAGGGGGCAAGCGUUAUUCGGAAUUAUUGGGCGUAAAGGGCGCGUAGGCGGCUUUUCAAGUGACGGGUGAAGUCCCUCGGCUUAACCGAGGAACUGCCUGUCAGACUGGAAGGCUUGAGACCGGGAGAGGUGAGUGGAAUUCCCAGUGUAGCGGUGAAAUGCGUAGAUAUUCGGAAGAACACCAGUGGCGAAGGCGGCUCACUGGCUCGAUACUGACGCUGAGGUGCGAAAGCGUGGGGAGCAAACAGG
rnacentral:rRNA from 1 species